rnacentral:lncRNA from 1 species
GCGGUGUUCCCGAAAGCAGACCCUGAGAUGAGAAUGCAGGUAGAAGUGACUUAUUAGGGGGAGAUUCUUCAGCGAAUGUCUCCUCCUGGAAACACUGGGAGGAGAGUGGGGAAGCGGGGCGACGCAGUGAGCAGGCAACACCGAGCCCGAGGGCAAGUCCGGCUCCAUCCCGCCGGGGACAGCGCGUGUUCCACUACGGAGUGUCUCCGUCAGGGACAAAGCUGUCCUUGGUCAAGGUGGCCCCAAGAGGAUGCCCUGCACUCGGCAAAGUAGGCUUGGCAACCCGAGACCCGUCUUCAGGUGCCGGAGGUGCUGGGGCACGCAGACAGGGUAAGGGCACCGGAGGGGCUUGGGCAGAGCCCCAACGGCAGCUCGUACAACAUCCCAAGGCGACUGGGUGCCAGGGACUGGCUCAUGCAGAGCAAACUCCCGACUGACGGCACCUCUCCAGGGAAAGAUAGAACGAGCAGGCCCUCUAGGCUCCUGUGUCCAAGGGUCAGCCCGUGUCCUCCAGGGAGGAGAGGCUGCCACAGACAGACCACAAACAGACAGACCGCAGGGUGAGGGUGCGCUCGGCGGGAGGGCUGGCUGCACUUGGUAAUGGCUGGGUCCUGGGGCUCCGGUGGUGAUGAGGCAAGGAGGGGUGCCCGUGGGUCAGGACCCGACUUUGUUUUGACAGUGCUGGAAACAAACUCUCCCGGCCUUGCCUGAAGCAGUGGGGGCGGGGGGGGGGGGGGGUAAGAAGCCUUCUGUACUUGGAAGUCAGAAGGAGUCAGGUUCAAAUCCCAACUCUUCAUGCACCAGCUGUGCAACCUUGGGCAGAGCUCCUGGUCUCUCUGAGCUUCAUCACUCAAGACCAGGCUGAAAUCACUGUCACCCCACUCCUUGUGGGGUGGUUUCAGACCCAGUGUCCCAGACCACCUCCUUACGGAGCAAGAGAUCACUACUCUAUCCAAGGGGACUGUCACUUGCGAAGAAUGAGUGACAAUCAUUACUGCCUGUGCCUUCCUCGGGGCUAGCUUCCCCUAUUCUGAGGCUCAUCUUCCCCUCCUUUUUGAGGAAAGGGGGUUUGUCUCCAGCCACUCCUUACAUGAGACCUCCUGAAGGCCUAUCUGUCACUCCCAGCCAGGCUGCUGUCCCCUCUCCUCAGCCGGCCCUUUCUCUCACUCCACUGCUAGCCAGCCCCCUGCCUUCAUUCCUCCAAGUGUCACCACCAGGAUGCUGCUGUGUGGCAUGCAGUUUCACUCAAGGCUCGAGAGAACGGAAGGGGGAUUAUGACAGAACACACAACAGACGAUUUUCAGGGCCAUCCUGGGGAUCCCAAGCUUGAAUGCCCCUAGCCCUUCCCGCCCUCGGGAGCUCCUGCUGGCCCUUGGUCUCCCCAGGACUCCCCUCGUCCUCCUGCUGAACCCCUCCUUUCGGAGCCUCCCCAGGGCACUCUCAGCCUGCCACCUCGCUGGCUGUCCCAGGGCAGGUCUCAGGCCCUGAGACCCAGUCCUGUGGCCACGCGGCUCCCCGCUGUGCUGUCUUUGCCCUGUCCUCCUGGUGCGGCCCAGGGGCCGCAGGCUUCUCAACCGUAAACAAACAAAAAGAGAAAUCUCCUCCCAGUUUUCUUUUCGUUCUUGUUUUUAAACAAAGAUGCAACACAGCCCAAGAGCCAAGACGGGCUUUUUCCCAAGAAGUCUGGCCCCAUGGCAGCCUGGUUUUAGCAAGAGCAAUUCCUUCCUGCCCCCUGAUGGUUGCUGCCACCCUCGUUUGCCUGCUUCCGUGGCCCCCUGCUCCCAAGUCCCCACUGCUCUCCCCAACCCCCCUCGUCUUCCUCUAGCCUUUCCAUUCCUCCAAUCAAAUCAAGUCUGGGCUGGAGCCCUCCUGCCCCUUUAAGGUGACUUGGCAUUUCUCUGCGUGGCUCCAUUUUGCUGGCUUUAUGGUUUAACUGGCAGACUGACGUCUCAUUUCCUUAUUUCUGAAUUCUUUCAGGCACAUCUCUCUGGUGUCUCCCCCAUUCACCCCCGCCCCCAUGGGUGCCCGCUGUGAUCAGCCCCACACUCCCCAUUUCCACCGCCCUCCUGUUUUCAGAUGCAGCCCCUAGGCUUUGCCCCAACACCUGCAAGUCCUUGGGAUACUUUGAGGUAUUCUAAAACGUUUUUAUUACAGUAAGAAUGCAUGUUCCUUGCAGAAUAAAAAGAAAAUACAGAUAAGCAGAUCUAAAAAUCAGUGUUAAUCCUCCAUGAGAAAUAGCAUCUGCUAACAUUUUGACAAAUCUUCUCCCAAUUCAGUUUCCACGAAUACUCAUGCGUCCCAAGAUUCUCUUGGUGGCAGGUAACAGAAAUUCAACUCGAACCCCUUGUCAUGAGGUGAAUUGUGUCUCUGCCCCACCAAUUCAGAGACCCCAGUAGCUGAGAACAUGCCUAUAUUUGAAGACAGGGCCACUGAAAAGGUGAUUCCAGUUAGGUAAGGUCACUGGAGUGGGCCCUAAUCCAAGAUGCCCGGUGUCCUUAUAAGAAGAGCUUAGGACACAGAAGGGAGAGAGGAGAGAGGCCUCAGAGGAAACCAGCCCCGCUGCCCCCUUGGCCUCAAACUUCUGGCCUCUGGAGCCGUGAGGAAGUACGUUUCUGUCGUUUCAGCCGCUCAGCCUGUGGUGCUUUGCUGUGGUGCCCCGGGGCAGACGAAUGCCACCCCCCCCCCCCGACCUGGCCGUGGCCCAGAGGGGAAGUUGUUUGAAGGAUCGUACGGCUGCAGGGAGAGCAGAGUGACCCUGGGGCUCAGGCAGCCCACGCGGGACCCCCGGAGUCAGGGGGACUCGCCAACCACCAGGAGCUCACCGUCCACGUGCCGUCCAUCACUUCCAGCCCUGCUUCUCCCUGGCUUUGUCCUCCCUCCUGGCAGGAAACGGCUUCCCCCCCAAGAGGGAUGGGCCUUUUGUCUCACUGCUAGUUUGCAGAAGCCCAGUGCUGGGGUUUGAUUGGCUCGGCUUCGGUCAUCGUCCACUCCACGGCCGGUUACAGGGACACAACAGCUAACCUGUUGAGCAACGACUCUGCAUCGGUCACUGUGCUAAAGUCCCCGUUCAUUCCACCCUUUAUCGUGCUAAGCUUGGGGGGUUAUUACUCUUCUUACCACUUUCCAGACCAGGGCCCUGAGUCCUGCAGCCGUCAGGGAACCGGCCAGGUCACUGCCAUUGCUGGGUCUCGCGGGGGGGGGGGGGGGGGGGGGGGGGGGUGGUCCCUGAAGACAGCCAGGAGGCCCCGUCGAAACCAAGCGGGUCUCUGCAGACCCCCUUCUUCCCCAGUCCCCGGGUCUGGCCACACGCUUCGAGGGUGGUCCACCACACGGCCAGCUGGCCCACCGACGGGUGCCUUCCAAGGUUCUGAAGAACAGCAGUUCCGUUUUUCACUUGACGGUCACGGAGCCAGCGCAGAUUGAGGCCAGCCACGUGGCAUCCUCGGCUGCUCUGCCGUGUGCUGCACCACGGCUGGGGCCCGAGUCCCCCCUGGGCUCUCCGGGCAGGAGUCUGCAGGGGAUGCGGUGGGCUUGUUUCGCUCCCCUCCUUUCUCUCCCUCUUUCUUCUACGGCUGCCGCAGACCAGGGCACGCGCUCAGAGGCAGCUGCCUGCGCCCAUCAAGCCUGAGACCCGGGCCCUCCCGGGACCCUUCAGCACACACUGUCGGAAAGGACACUACCCACAAGGCCACGCGGGCUUCCUUUGUUGGGCCGGCUGGGGCGAGGGGCAUGGGUCUAGCCUUAGGAACCUGUCCGGUGACCCAGCAUCUCAGGGAUUAAAUGGGCUUUUUACGGAGGUCAUCCCCCAGGAUGGAAGAUUGCCCCCCCACGGCGGGAAGAUUGCCGUGUUCGCGCUUCCAGGUCUAGCCCAGGGGGGUUGACGGCCGCUCAGGGCUGUCCAGGAGAGCAGGACCGCCCCCCCAGCACUUCGACGCCACGUUCUGGUCCCACCAGUUGUGAUCCGUCCCCACAGGAAUCGCUCCUGUCACGAUGCGGAGGAGCCGGGCCGGGGCUGGAGUGAGGAAAGUGAGGCAUUCGCCUUAGUGCAAAACUUACGAGGCGCCAAAAAACUCAGGAGUCGAGAGAGAUAAUAUUGUCAUGCAAUAUUUAAAAAAAAUCACAUCAGUAGAGUAUGGCCUCAAGGCUGUGUGCCCGCUUUAAUAAAUACAGUUUUAUUAGGGUGCUCUGGACUUACCCAUCCUGCAGUACUUUGCGGCUGUAAUGUUAGAGUCUGCCAAGGACGAUGAACUUCCCUGAGACACCCCUGAUUUUGAUACUGUAUCAGUCAGGAUUGUGCAGGGAAACAGAACCAACAGGACGUAUAUACAUGGAGAGAGAGAAGGAGAGAGAGAGAGAGAGAGAGAGGAGAGCAGAGAUUUUGUUUUAAGUAAUCGGCUCGCACAAUUGUGGAGGCCUGACAGGUCCAAAAGUCGCAAGAAAAGCUGGCGGGCUGGAGGCCCAGGGGAGGGUUGCAGUUCCAGUCUAAAGGCGGUCUGCUAACAGAACACCCCUUUCUUCUGGGGAAGUCAGCCUUUUCUAGAAAGGCCUUCACCUGAUUGGAUGAGGCCCACCCACAUUCUGAAGGGUAGUCUGCUUUACACAAAGUCUACUGAUUUAAAUGGUUAUCUCAUCUACACCUAGAAUAAUGUUUCAUCAAAUAUCUGGGCACCAUGGUCUAGCCAAAUUGACACAUAAAAUUAACCAUUACAAGUGCCUUCUAUUAUUAUUCAGUCCAUGAUUGCCACUUUACUUUCUCCGUGCAUACAUUCUUUUUCUCCAAAGCAAGGGAAGAAAAACCUCCAUUUGCAGAGAAGUGACUGUUUUAUUACCUCUUUGCAUGUUCUGGCAUUUUCUAGAAUAGUACUUUGCACAAAACAGCACAUGUUUGUUAUUUGAUGAGUAGCUAUUAAUUUGGCUACUUUUUGGCCUCAACUUAAUUUUUUUUUUUUGUCAAAAAUUUACAAGAUCUUAGGAAGAAACUGGUUACUUUUCAAAUCCAAGAACAAAAUAGUCCAGAUACAAAUCUCAUAAAAAAUAAUCCUUUCAAGUAUAUGUUCUCCUGUUCUUCCAAAGCAUGGCUUAAAACCAGUUUCCAGUUCUCCUUUGAAGAAACUCUGUCCAUGAGGAAUCAAAAGCCCAGGCAGUCUUUCUCUGUGGGAUGCAGGAACUAUUCCUCUUACGAUUUCUUUCUCAAAAUCUUAAUCCCAAUAAUAAUGAAAAUGAUUUAUCAGAUGAAGACAGAAAUUAAUCCAGCCUGAACGACUUGAUGUUAUCAUAUUUAAUUUCAAAUUUAAUUACUUGGGUAUUUAAUUACAAAACAGUUAAUUACUUCAUUGUAAUUAUGUGUCUCUUUAAAGUAGAAAGAGGCAACAAAGUCCCUGAUAAGGGGCCACCCUGAGGCAUGGCCGUUUUCUGGUUUAUCUCCAACACGUAUCAGCCCUGCUUCCGGAUUUUCCUGUUGCUCUAGCUUCUCUGUCCCGUCCCUUGAAUUUCUCACUUCCUAUCAGUUCUUGGUCUCUUCUUAUGCUUCUAGAACCAGCAUCCAGUGCCAUGUUCUGCUGCUCCAAUGAUUUCUACAAGCAGAGCUUCCAAAGCCUUGUUGUUGGACAAGAUCACUUUAUUUUUAAGAAAUUUUUUUUAAUGUUUAUUUUUGAGACAGAGACAGAAUGCUAGUGGGUUAGGGGCGGAGAGAGAGGGAGACAGAAUCGGAAGCAGGCUCCAGGCUCCGAGCUGUCAGCACAGAGCCCGACGCGGGGCUUGAACCCACCAACCGUGAGAUCGUGACCUGGGCCGAAGUCAGAUGCUCAACCGACUGAGCCGCCCGGGCGCCCCGGACAAGAUCACUUUAAACAGCACCAGCCUACUCACCUCAGAGCCAAGAGCUUGUGUGGUACUUGUGAGCCUCAGGAUUUUAAGGGUCACCCUGCUCACCGGAAUGGGGCAGACAUCAUCCGGUCACGGUGAUUGCUGGCCCUCACUCUGCUGCCAGACUGUGGGGUUUGCAGCUUCAGCCCUUUGGCAUGAGGGGUUCUACGGAGGAUGCCAACAUGCCUGGCGUGGUGGGGUUGUCUGGGGGCUCAAGGAAGGGCUCUUUGCCUGUUGACCGGAAGCGGUUCAACAUUUUCACAACUGCUACUCCUUUACCAGUACCUCUGGGCUCAGCCUUCUCGCUGGCCCUUGCGGGGCAGGGAGGAUAAGAAGGUGCAUGACACAAGCCGAGUGUCACACGUGUGCCAGGGACGGCGGGGAACUAGAGGACCAUGCCCCACAUCAAGGAAGCAGCCUGGUGAUGAUCGCAGUGGGCAAUUUUUAUUUUUUUUCAAGAGAAGCCCAGAGUCAGAUUUUUAUGAGAAAAUUUCAGAUUUUAAAAUAUUGGAAGCCAACUCAAGUUGGUUUUUUUUUUUUUUUCCAAAUUCCGGGGGGUCAACUAAAAAUAACGUAGGGCUGGAGUUGACUCACGGGAGGCCCCCUCUCCUGCUUGAAGUCACUGCCUCUCCAUCCAAAAUGGGGGUUCUAUUUUCCAUCUUCUGUGUAAAAGUGAGCAUGGACUUCUGACUUUCACGUAUGAUAGAGAAAGCUGGGGACACAUCACUCCCCCCCCCUUACAAGAAGAACAGACUGAACGUUGUACAAGUUAACAACUUCUCCGGAUCCCCCGGGACAGACGAAGCCACCAGCUAAAUAUCUAAUCCCAAAUCGGAAGAGAGCCGGUCACCUCCAAGGAACUUGCUUACUAGAACAGAUGUCACCAGAUGCCACACUAGUAAGAAAAGGACCUCCGAUUUGCUAAAGACCAAGGGUGGGAACAGGGAGCUCCUGAGAGCCACAGACACAGGGAGUUUGCCCCACCUUCGGGCUUUCCCCCACCGACCCAGCAAGCACUCAUAGGAAGGCGAGGAGCACAGCGAGAGUCCUGAGCUGCUGCGGGGAGGGCAAGCAGUCCUUCUUCCCGGUGGAACGGCAUCAAGCCGAUGUGGGAAGGACGGCCCGCUCUUCUGCCCUCAGAGCAUCCUCUGCAGCUGGGAGGAGAACAGAAAAGGCCUCCACCCGAGGACAAGGCGCAAGUGCAUCCUGGACCCAGACUAUGAAAUGCCUCCUACGGCUGGGGGCGGUAUGGAGCAAGAAGAAGGACUCACUCCUGCGGCACGGGGACACCACGCCUGCGCAAGACUGAGUGUGAAUCACUCCACCCACCUGCCAUGACUAGGGCAGCGAGUGUCAAGGUAACAAGUGGUAGCAUCUAUUGCUAGGAGAGGGGUGAGCGCCUGGAGAGACAUCCUCUCUGAGGGGCAAUUGCAAAGGGCCUGAAGCAGAGGGUGGGGCAGAUGUUGAGAGAAACCUCUGGAAACAAUUCAAAUGUCCAAGGGGGGAUGGAUAAACAAGCCAUGGUGCGUUGUACAACAGAACACUACCGAGUUACUGGUACACUCGGUAACAGGCAUGCAUCUCACAGGGGUUAUGCUAGUUCCUACACAUGGCGGGGCUCCACGUAUAUGACAUUCCUGCAAAAGCACAUCUCUAGGGGGUGACAGAGCUGGUCUUUAUUGUAACCGUGCUAGGGUCUCCAUGAGCCUACUUUCCGCAAGACUUGCAGGAUCGUGCGCGACAGAGGGAGAGUUUCACCCUGUGUAAAAGAUUCCUCAAUAAAAUAGAUGGGAAAAAAUGAGGAGCAUGACAUUAUCAGAUCAAGCGUCAACCCAUUUCUUUGGACCAUGUUGGUUUUCUUUUUCUUUUUAAGUUUUUAUUUAAAUUCCAGUUAGUUGAUAUACAGUGCUAUAUUAGUCUCAGGAGUACCAUUUAGUGAUUCAUCACUUCCUUCCAACACCACACUGGUGCUCAUCACAAGUGCCCCCUCAAUCCCCAUCACCUAGUUCACCCAUCCCCCACCCGCCUCCCUUCUGGUAAGGAUCAGGUUGUUCUCUAGAGUUAAGAGUCUGUUUCUUGGUUCUCUCUCUCUCUCUCUCUGUUCCCCUAUGCUCAUUUGUUUUGUUUCUUCAAUUCCUCACAUGAGUGAAAUCAUAUGUAUUUGUCUUUCUCUGACUGACUGACUUCACUUAGCAUAAUUCUCUCCAGAUCCAUCUUUUAUUUUCAGUAGCCAUGCUGCCCUGAGAAAGGUAAAACGGUGGCAAAGGACAAGCACAUGCGUUGGUCAGCCGGCCUGCUUUUAACUGUAAAUGUCAGGAACUCAACUCCAUCUAGCUUAGAUCCAAAGGGUGAUUUGAUGAGAGGACUGCAUCUGUUUCAGACUGGCAGCCUGGGUGCCCGGGGUGAUGGGGACCAGGGACUCCUCCUGUCCCUCAACUCCUUCUCCCCUGGAGUACGUUCUCUCUCACGGCACGCGGACUUCUGAACAUGGCCGCCAGUAGCUCCCAGCCUCAUGUUUCGCAGCCUUCCCAACAAGGAGGAGCUGCAUCCCUUAUUCUAAUUCCAGUUCAAAAAUCCCAGGAAGCACUCUGAUUGGCUCCGCCGAGGCCAGCCAACAGCGGCCAAGGGAGAGACAUCCUGGGAUUGUUACCUUCCAUUCCACAUGGUUGGAGUGGGGAACAGAUGCUUCCCCCAGAAGGUAGAAUGCUAAGCAGACAAAAUAUUGUCUCUUGUGGCUCAUCACCAUCUUAUGCACUACAUUUUCUUUGUUGUUCUCCAAAAGAGGUUGGAGUUCCCCUUCUCGCUCCCCUUCAUUUCAGUUUUGUGGGCCUGCUCUGGACCGAGAGGCGGAGGAAUGAAACGAGUUAGACACAGUCCUUGCCCUCAAAAACCCGCAGCCCAGGCUAAGGGGGAACCCAACAAAUAGCCAGCUCGUUAGAAAAUCCAGCAAGGAGCACAACGGGAGGGGCCGCAACCGAGCCCGGGGGCUGAGACCAGGUUUCCUACAAGAAGUGACUCCAGGGCAAUUUGAAGGUUUUGAAAGGGGAAGGGCAUUUCAAACGGAAGUGUACGUCCCAGUCCCAGGUGAGGCCAAAGGAGCUGCUCUCACAAGUGCUGGAUUGUGAAUCCCUCAAUGGGGCAUGUCAGGUCUUUUAUGAUCAGGAUGCCAUGCUUGGCUUUGUAAAUACGCACUUUAUAGUUUUCAGAACACUUACAAAUCCUUUUUCCCCCUCUUCAGCAGCCUUAUCCAACAGUACCAAAAAUCGGGAAAGAAGAACAAAACAAAGAACGGAGAAAAGGCUGGAUAGCUUUGCGGCAACAGAGCUCAGCCCACGCCCCCCCUCUCACCGCAGCCCACGUAUGGGACGGGCCUGCAGGUAGGUUGAUUGCUCCAAGGUUGGGGGUUUGUACGAUGUGUGUGGUGGAAACAGAAAGCGGCCAGGACCCUCCCAGUCACUAAGGAAAACCUCACAGGACACAGACUGGGCAGGGAAAGUGGAUGAGGAACUGUAAAGGCAAAAAGGGGGAAGGGAUCAAAGAAUGAGAGUCCGAAUGAAGUUCAGGAGGCAGAACACGGGGAAUAAGGGCGCAAAGGGUUGGAAGGGUGAAGUGUGAAGCCUGAGAUCAAAAGAUUUCUUUUUCAAUGUUUAUUUAUUUUGAAAGAGAGAGAGCAGGGAAGGGCAGAGAGAGAAGGAGAAAGAGAACCCCAGGCAGGCUCUGAGCUGUGAGCACGGAGCCCAACGUGGGGCUUGAACUCGUGAACCGCGAGACCACGACCUGAGCCCAAACCGAGAGUCAGCCACGUAACCGACUGAGCCACCCAGGAGCCCCAUGAGAUUAAACGAUUUCUGAGGUUGUGUAAUUCCAGGAGGUGGUGAGCUCCACGGUAUGCAGCCAUCCAUGGUUUGCCGGAAGGGGAGGUGACGAAGCGGUUAUUGGAGUUAUUGGAAGAGGUCAAAGAUGGACAUCAAAGCUGAAGCCAUGAAGUCUACGGAGGGGCUUGGAGUGGAGAAGGAAAACAAGUGGCAGGCGCCCAAGUGUUUAGGGAAAGAGAGGGAGUGUGAUCAGAAGGUUGUGGAAGGUGGCCACCGGGAGAGGAGGGGGAGGUAGGGACCAAUGACAGGACUGUCAAGAAGGGCGUUUGCGUGGGAAUGGGAGAACAGCGUCUGGGAGCAGCCUGAGAGGCAGUGGGAGGCAGGCUUUGCUCCCCUGGGCAGCAGGCGAGACAGAAGAGCAGGAGACCAAAUGAGCAGCGCACGCUCGGGAAGUACACGGCACAGCCUUGGCCGGGGCUGAAGGGGCCGGAGAACAUUCACCAGAUUCUGCCUGAAUAUGCAGAUUAGCUCAGCGUCCGUCGAGGCGCAGCCUUGUGCGGCUUUCCACGUAGGAGAUGGUGUCGGAUGAUGAUCAUCUUCUCAAUUGAAGACUCACACGCUCAUUCUAGUAUGUGUUAUGAAUACGUAUAUGACCAGCUUGUCAUCCUAGAGAAUUCACAAAUAACUGUGCUUAGCGUAAGAGUUCGGUUUAAAAUCGGGUCAAUUUAAAGAAAGCUAUCAAUGGGGAGCCUGGGUGGCUCCGUCGGCUAAGCAUCUGACUCUUGACUUCAGCUCAGGUCACGAUCUCACAGUCUGUGAGUUCGAGCCCUGCAUAGGGCUCUGUGCUAACAUCGCAGAGCCUGCUUGGGAUUCUCUCUCUCUCUGCCCCUCCCCUGCUUGUGCGUGCCCGCUCUCUCCUCUCUCUCUCUCUCUCUCUCUCUCUCUUUCUCUCAAAUAAAUAAACAUUAAAAACAUGAAAGAAAGGUAUCACCUAAAUAAUAAAAACAGAUGGUGCGCAGGUCAGGGGCAAAGUGUGAAGGCAGCGUGCAAAGGCCCCAAAUGUGGGAAACCCUGGAUUUGCCUCAUUUACUCUGCACAACUGUGUAUCAGGAAAGCCCUAGGGCUGACCACUGGGACACACCAUAGCUCCAACUCACACUUGGAAAAGCAGUCCCAGGUCUCUGUGCCGUGGAGGGUUGCCGCAGUUGCGCACAGGUUCAGAGCCUGGAACGGAGCAGAGAGAAUCCUGGGCAUGCUGAAGAAUGCCUCUUUCCCAAGUGACCCAUCAUGUGCUUUUUAUACUGGGACAUCUUGGAGGUCAUCUUAGCCUGAUUUCAGCCCCGUUUCUUCUAGAAUACGUAAAAAGGAAAAAUCACCCUCUCUGUAUCAGACGCCUCACGCGCUGCCUCGUUCUCUCAAGGGGCCACCACCAUGCCCAGCCUCUGCCAUGAGGGCUUCCGGGAGGCGACUACGUUCUACCCACCUGAGGCCUCCGCGUGGGUCUCCGGUUGCUCCCAUGACUUCAAGACUCAGAGGACCUAUCAUGCUGGCUAUUUCCUGGGAUCUGGCUUCCCCAGUGGCUCCCGAAGGACUCGGGCGAUGUAACCCAGAAGCGCAGGGAACUUAACUCCCUGUGUAGAGAACUUGACCAGUGAAGUUCUCUCCAUUCCACCAUAAUGGACUCUUUCAAGGCCUGGGAUUUCCGAAAAAUCUGUUCAGAGACAUCCCGCGCAGCAAGAUGACCAGCCUCUCGAGGUAGGGCUGGGACUGUACCUUCGGAUAAAGCAGUAGCGUUUAAGCCUGCCUCAGGCCAUCUAUUCAAGGGAGUCCAGGCUAUCCGGAACCAGACGGGGAUUCUUCCUCCCCGCCCCCCCCUUCUCAUAACCUUUUAAAAAGUCAAUUUCAAAAGUGUGGUGGCCUACUCUCCUCACCGCCAAAGACUGCCCAGAGGAGCAGAGGGUUCACUGGCAGAGGCUGGGAGGCGGACAGCCUACUUGGGUAAAGGGGCUCCUAGCAGCCACUAUGCUUCUGCACAUGCUCGGCAGAAGGUGCCCACCUGCUAGACAGCCCAGAGCCACGAAAUGGGCUCGGAGCUGGCAGCUGAACACGACGGAGCCGAGGGGAGAACAGCGGCCGUGAAAGCCACGCGGGCUUGCCCCCGUGGGGUUCCGGCUUGCCCCUGCUCGCUAGGCUGAGGGCUGGCUGGAGGCCCCUGAGAUCUUCCCAUCUGGUGGGGGAUGGGAAGCACCUCUCCCAGUGAGAACUUUGAGCUGGACUGUGAUUGAAUUCUUGGAUUAGACUAACAUUUUUAUUGGAUUAGGCUGGCCUUUGCUGGAGGGGACUGAAUUCAGUCUUCCUGCUGCCAAGUGGGAAUGAGACCUCAUUAAAGAAAGUACAUGCAAUUAUUAUUAUUUUUUAAGUGCAUUUGUACUCUCCCAGGCCCCACUUUAAUUUGGCCAGGAGCCCUGUCCUUGAGUGUGAGGCCCUAAGGAGAGUCAACCAGACUCCGGCACUUGGACAAAUAGGGUUUAUGUCUGUGGCUAGAAUAACAAGGCCUGGGGUAAAUUACCAAGAUGUGGUGUGAUGGCUGAACCUCGUCUACACGCGAAGCCAGCUGUGUGCUCCUGACCACAGAGGUCUUGGAAAGGAAUGAAACAUCAGCACUUCGACUUCGUUUUUGAAUUUUCUUUUAACGUUUAUUUAUUUUUGAGAGAGAGAGAGAGACAGAGUGCGAGUAGGGGAGGGGCAGAGGGAGAGGGAGACGCAGAAUAUAAAGCAGGCUCCAGGCUCUGAGCUGUCAGCACAGAGACCCACACGGGGCUCGAACUCACACACCGCAAGAUCACGGACUGAGCCGAAGUCGGACGCUUAACCGACUGAGCCACCCAGGUGCCCCUCGACUACGUUUUUAAUAUGCUUUAUUAUGUAUAGCCAUUGUGAACACAGUUCCAAUAUCAGUUUGCUGGUGGUCAUAUAAGAGGUGUGUGUGUGGGGGGGGUGUGGGUGUGUGCGUGUCUGUGUGUAUAGUGUGAUGGCUAAGAGCUCAGGCUCGAUGACCAUCAGAUCUGGAUUGAGACCCAGUGUUACCCUCAGCAGAGGUGAAGAUCUACUCAUCAGCAGUGUGAGCUUAGGAACUGUUAACCCAUCUAAGGCAUGGCUUUCUCAUCCAGAAAGUGGCGGUGAUCACAUCAACCUCGCCAGACCGCUGUGAAAAGCCAAGCCGCAGCCAUCGUGCACUGCCUUCGCCAUUCCCGCCCCCCAGGUUCUCUGCCACUGGCCAAGCGGCUUGGCCCAC